UAGGUUGGGAUGGCAUUGAGUACUGAUUUGAGCAUUGUGAGCUUCCCAGCUCAAGAGAGUCUCUUUGGGGACGAGCUGAUAGCCUUCUGUCGAAUUCUAUCUACCAUCGAGGUAAAUAAAUCUCUUUUUCUUCUGCCAAAGUGUUCAAGAAGUCCUAGAUACUUGCCUAAACGUCCUUCUUGUGUAAUUCCCAGCAAUAACUU
rnacentral:lncRNA from 1 species